rnacentral:rRNA from 1 species
UACGGGGGGGGCAAGCGUUGUUCGGAAUUACCGGGCGUAAAGGGCUCGUAGGCGGCCAACUAAGUCAGACGUGAAAUCCCUCGGCUUAACCGGGGAACUGCAUCUGAUACUGGAUGGCUUGAGAUUGGGAGAGGGAUGCGGAAUUCCAGGUGUAGCGGUGAAAUGCGCAGAUAUCAGGAGGAACACCGAUGGCGAAGGCAGGUCUCUGGGCCGAUACUGACGCUGAGGAGCGAAAGCGUGGGGAGCGAACAGG